rnacentral:rRNA from 1 species
UACGUAGGGGGCGAGCGUUGUCCGGAUUCAUUGGGCGUAAAGCGCGCGCAGGCGGUGGCGUGAGCCCGGCGUGAAAGCCCCCAGCUCAACUGGGGGAGGCCGUCGGAGACCGCGACACUUGAGGCCGGUAGGGGAGAGCGGAAUUCCCGGUGUAGUGGUGGAAUGCGUAGAUAUCGGGAGGAAUACCAGCGGCGAAGGCGGCCUUCUGGACGGUGACUGACGCUGAGACGCGAAAGCGUGGGGAGCAAACAGG